rnacentral:tRNA from 1 species
CGGGACGUGGCGCAGCCUGGUAGCGCACCUGCCUUGGGCGCAGGGGGCCGCUGGUUCAAAUCCAGUCGUCCCGACCA